rnacentral:lncRNA from 1 species
UAGAAGGAAAUAAGCUGACCAACAGAAAUGCACUACAUAAUUUGUCUGCCAAAAUUACAGUAACACCACAUUGGUUGACGUAACUUUCUGACAGUGAUUAACAAGAAACAUAAUUCAUAUUAACAUGAAUCCAUGAAUUUACUAUAACACUGACCAAGUUCCAUCAUAAUUCAAAAUAUUUAUUACCAGAUAAAAACAACCAGAACUCUAUAAAUACUAGUAAAAAAUAUGGCUAAUUUACCACAUACUUUAUAUGUAAAAGUUCUGUACCACAAUAAUGAUUGACAUCAAAUACUGACUAUGAUUUAUGAGAAAGACUGAUAAGUAUUUUAACAUGAAUCCAUGGAUUUACUUUAACAUUCAGGUUCCAACAUAAUUGAAAAUUCAAUUUCAUGCAAUUUAGAACCCAAAGCCAGAUAAAUCAAUCACAACUGUAUAAACUGGUGAAAUCAACAUAGUUCAGAAAAGUAGUAAAUUUACUACGGUGCUGGGUCAAUGAAGGUCCAGUAAAUUAGGAGAAUUUGUACUAUGCUGCCUUUUAAUUUACUAUAAGAGUGAUCUAUCAUUGAAAAGUAUAUUUGGCUACAACAGGAACUCCCAAUGUUACACGAUACCUUGACAAAGAAGAGG